GGCGCCAUGGCUUAGCCGGUCAAAGCGCCUGUCUCGUAAACAGGAGAUCCUGGGUUCGAAUCCCAGUGGUGCCU